rnacentral:rRNA from 2 species
CACCGCGGUUAUACGAGAGGCCCAAGUUGACAGACACCGGCGUAAAGCGUGGUUAAGGUACACGAAAACUAAAGCCGAACACCUUCAGGGCAGUUAUACGCAUCCGAAGGCACGAAGCCCCACCACGAAAGUGGCUUUAUGAACCCUGACCCCACGAAAGCUAUGACA